GGGUUGUGAGGUUAAGCGACUAAGCGUACACGGUGGAUGCCCUGGCAGUCAGAGGCGAUGAAGGACGUGCUAAUCUGCGAAAAGCGCCGGCGAGGUGAUAUGAACCUUUGACCCGGCGAUGUCCGAAUGGGGAAACCCAGUGCAAUUCGUUGCACUAUCGUUAACUGAAUACAUAGGUUAACGAGGCGAACCGGGGGAACUGAAACAUCUAAGUACCCCGAGGAAAAGAAAUCAACCGAGAUUCCCCCAGUAGCGGCGAGCGAACGGGGAGCAGCCCAGAGUCUGAAUCAGCUUGUGUGUUAGUGGAAGCGUCUGGAAAGUCGCACGGUACAGGGUGACAGUCCCGUACACGAAAAUGCACAGGUUGUGAACUCGAAGAGUAGGGCGGGACACGUGGUAUCCUGUCUGAAUAUGGGGGGACCAUCCUCCAAGGCUAAAUACUCCUGACUGACCGAUAGUGAACCAGUACCGUGAGGGAAAGGCGAAAAGAACCCCGGCGAGGGGAGUGAAAAAGAACCUGAAACCGUGUACGUACAAGCAGUGGGAGCACCUUCGUGGUGUGACUGCGUACCUUUUGUAUAAUGGGUCAGCGACUUAUAUUCUGUAGCAAGGUUAACCGUAUAGGGGAGCCGAAGGGAAACCGAGUCUUAACUGGGCGUUAAGUUGCAGGGUAUAGACCCGAAACCCGGUGAUCUAGCCAUGGGCAGGUUGAAGGUUGGGUAACACUAACUGGAGGACCGAACCGACUAAUGUUGAAAAAUUAGCGGAUGACUUGUGGCUGGGGUGAAAGGCCAAUCAAACCGGGAGAUAGCUGGUUCUCCCCGAAAGCUAUUUAGGUAGCGCCUCGUGAACUCAUCUUCGGGGUAGAGCACUGUUUCGGCUAGGGGCCAUCCCGGCUUACCAACCCGAUGCAAACUACGAAUACCGAAGAAUGUUAUCACGGGAGACACACGGCGGGUGCUAACGUCCGUCGUGAAGAGGGAAACAACCCAGACCGCCAGCUAAGGUCCCAAAGUCAUGGUUAAGUGGGAAACGAUGUGGGAAGGCACAGACAGCCGUGAUGUUGGCUUAGAAGCAGCCAUCAUUUAAAGAAAGCGUAAUAGCUCACUGGUCGAGUCGGCCUGCGCGGAAGAUGUAACGGGGCUAAACCAUGCACCGAAGCUGCGGCAGCGACACUUAUGUGUUGUUGGGUAGGGGAGCGUUCUGUAAGCCGUUGAAGGUGUGCUGUGAGGCAUGCUGGAGGUAUCAGAAGUGCGAAUGCUGACAUAAGUAACGAUAAAGCGGGUGAAAAGCCCGCUCGCCGGAAGACCAAGGGUUCCUGUCCAACGUUAAUCGGGGCAGGGUGAGUCGACCCUAAGGCGAGGCCGAAAGGCGUAGUCGAUGGGAAACAGGUUAAUAUUCCUGUACUUGGUGUUACUGCGAAGGGGGGAAGGAGAAGGCUAUGUUAGCCGGGCGACGGUUGUCCCGGUUUAAGCAUGUAGGCGGAGGUUCCAGGUAAAUCCGGUACCUUAUUAACGCUGAGGUGUGAUGACGAGGCACUACGGUGCUGAAGUAACAAAUGCCCUGCUUCCAGGAAAAGCCUCUAAGCAUCAGGUAACAUCAAAUCGUACCCCAAACCGACACAGGUGGUCAGGUAGAGAAUACCAAGGCGCUUGAGAGAACUCGGGUGAAGGAACUAGGCAAAAUGGUGCCGUAACUUCGGGAGAAGGCACGCUGAUAUGUAGGUGAAGCCCCUGCGGGUGGAGCUGAAAUCAGUCGAAGAUACCAGCUGGCUGCAACUGUUUAUUAAAACACAGCACUGUGCAAACACGAAAGUGGACGUAUACGGUGUGACGCCUGCCCGGUGCCGGAAGGUUAAUUGAUGGGGUUAGCGGCAACGCGAAGCUCUUGAUCGAAGCCCCGGUAAACGGCGGCCGUAACUAUAACGGUCCUAAGGUAGCGAAAUUCCUUGUCGGGUAAGUUCCGACCUGCACGAAUGGCGUAAUGAUGGCCAGGCUGUCUCCACCCGAGACUCAGUGAAAUUGAACUCGCUGUGAAGAUGCAGUGUACCCGCGGCAAGACGGAAAGACCCCGUGAACCUUUACUAUAGCUUGACACUGAACACUGGUCCUUGAUGUGUAGGAUAGGUGGGAGGCUUUGAAGUGUGGACGCCAGUCUGCAUGGAGCCGUCCUUGAAAUACCACCCUUUAAUGGCUGGUGUUCUAACGUAGACCCGUAAUCCGGGUUGCGGACAGUGUCUGGUGGGUAGUUUGACUGGGGCGGUCUCCUCCCAAAGAGUAACGGAGGAGCACGAAGGUUAGCUAAUCCUGGUCGGACAUCAGGAGGUUAGUGCAAUGGCAUAAGCUAGCUUGACUGCGAGAGUGACGGCUCGAGCAGGUGCGAAAGCAGGUCAUAGUGAUCCGGUGGUUCUGAAUGGAAGGGCCAUCGCUCAACGGAUAAAAGGUACUCCGGGGAUAACAGGCUGAUACCGCCCAAGAGUUCAUAUCGACGGCGGUGUUUGGCACCUCGAUGUCGGCUCAUCACAUCCUGGGGCUGAAGUAGGUCCCAAGGGUAUGGCUGUUCGCCAUUUAAAGUGGUACGCGAGCUGGGUUUAGAACGUCGUGAGACAGUUCGGUCCCUAUCUGCCGUGGGCGCUGGAGAAUUGAGGGGGGCUGCUCCUAGUACGAGAGGACCGGAGUGGACGCAUCACUGGUGUUCGGGUUGUCAUGCCAAUGGCACUGCCCGGUAGCUAAAUGCGGAAAAGAUAAGUGCUGAAAGCAUCUAAGCACGAAACUUGCCCCGAGAUGAGUUCUCCCUGAGACUUUAAGUCUCCUGAAGGAACGUUGAAGACGACGACGUUGAUAGGUCGGGUGUGUAAGCGCAGCGAUGCGUUGAGCUAACCGAUACUAAUGAACCGUGAGGCUUAACCUUACAACGCCGAAG
rnacentral:rRNA from 1 species